UUAGUUCACCUGAUUCCGCGGUACCCAUAUGAGAUUCACGUGCAAAUGUCAAAAACCUCUAUUUAUUAUUUUAACCUUCUAAUUUUGCCGGCUUUGGUCCGUUUCCACUUAAUACGCCGUCGUUUUAUCCCUCACUUCUUCUCCUCACUCGUCGGUUACUCUAAAAUACUCGAAUCCCACUCUCUUCAAUUUCAUUUCUUCACACUACUCCGUGUUGACUCAGUUUUUCAACUCGCUCUCUCUGCAUUUUCUUCUCUCUCUUCAUCUGGUACUCUCUCUCUCUCUCUCUCUCUCUCUCUAUGUUCGUUUCUGACCCGUACGAUUCACUGUGAUUUGUAA